rnacentral:rRNA from 1 species
GUUCGCCAAUUAAAGCGGUACGUGAGCUGGGUUCAGAACGUCGCGAGACAGUUCGGUCCCUAUCUGUUGCGGGCGUUGGACGCCUGAGUGGGGCUGCCUUUAGUACGAGAGGACCGAGGCGGACAGACCUCUGGCGUGCCGGUUAUCCUGCCAAGGGUAGGCGCCGGGUAGCUAAGUCUGGAAGGGAUAACCGCUGAAAGCAUCUAAGCGGGAAGCCCGCCACAAGACUAGGCGUCCCUGGGGACGUGAUCCCCCUGAAGGCCCCCGGGAGAAUACCGGGUCGAUAGGCCGCAGGUGCAGGCGCGGCGACGCGCACAGCCGAGCGGUACUAAUAGGCCGUGAGGCUUGGCCAUAUUACC